CUCAAACUCACAAUGUAGCCAAGACUGGCCAAGAGCGGACAAACCUGGCUCCACUUCCCAAGUGCUGGGAUCAUAGGAAUGUGCCACCACACCUCGGUGUUGACCUCAAUCCCAUAGUAAGCGGUGAGAUUAACGUACCACAGAGCAUUCCCAUUGCGAUCGCAUUCUGCCAUGAGGUGGGAAGAAAAAUGGGCGAUUAUUUUUAGGGAAAGGACAAAUUUGUGGUCACCUGAUCUGAAAGGACUGGAGAUAUUAUUUUCCCUCAGGUGUUGGAGGACUGGUGGCUGAUUGGUCAGACUCUUUCAUGAACCGUGUAGGAGCAGUGCUGAUUGGUCAGGUUCAUUUAAGAACCGCGGGAAGUGGUGCUGAUUGGUCAGAUUCAUUUAAGAACCGCGGGAAGUGGUGCUGAUUGGUCAGAUUCAUUUAAGAACCGCGAGGAGCGGCGUUUGUUCCCACAACACAUUUCAUCCAGACGCAAUGGAAAAAGCACUGUUAGCUUUCCUUGUUUGUGUGCUAAAGAUUUCUUUUGCCUUAUGAUUGUUACUUUUGCUUGUUUUGUUUGUCUUUGUAACAAAAUGACUUUUUCCAAGGGAAGGAACCUUUAAGAAAAAGAACGGCACUCUCUGCACGAUGCGAGAGUGAGCUAUGUGGAGCUUGCCUCCUGCCGCCCUACCCGCAACCUCACUGUAAGCCGUUUAGCCCCAAACUCCCCAGCCUUGGCAGCAGAAAACUAAAUGGUAAUAACUACCUUUUGGAAACUGAGCCUUAACAUUUUUAAAGGGGAAACGAGCGUUCUCCAAGUCCAAUAGCAUGAGCUAUAUUUGAUAGCGAUCUAUUACUGCUGUGAGCUCUUGAGGAUGCUAGCUCGAGAGUAACCCUGUGUGAAAGUGACUAUGAAUAAAUUUUAUAUUUUUAAA
rnacentral:lncRNA from 1 species